GAUGAACGCUGGCGGCGUGCCUAAUACAUGCAAGUCGAGCGAACAGACGAGGAGCUUGCUCCUCUGACGUUAGCGGCGGACGGGUGAGUAACACGUGGAUAACCUACCUAUAAGACUGGGAUAACUUCGGGAAACCGGAGCUAAUACCGGAUAAUAUAUUGAACCGCAUGGUUCAAUAGUGAAAGACGGGUUUGCUGUCACUUAUAGAUGGAUCUGCGCCGCAUUAGGUAGUUGGUAAGGUAACGGCUUACCAAGGCGACGAUGCGUAGGCGACCUGAGAGGGUGAUCGGCCACACUGGAACUGAGACACGGUCCAGACUCCUACGGGAGGCAGCAGUAGGGAAUCUUCCGCAAUGGGCGAAAGCCUGACGGAGCAACGCCGCGUGAGUGAUGAAGGUCUUCGGAUCGUAAAACUCUGUUAUUAGGGAAGAACAAAUGUGUAAGUAACUAUGCACGUCUUGACGGUACCUAAUCAGAAAGCCACGGCUAACUACGUG
rnacentral:rRNA from 1 species